UUCCGGUUGAUCCUGCCGGACCCGACUGCUAUCAGAGUGGGACUAAGCCAUGCGAGUCAACAUAGCAAUAUGUGGCAUACGGCUCAGUAACACGUAGUCAACAUGCCCAGGGGACGUGGAUAACCUCGGGAAACUGAGGAUAAACCGCGAUAAGUCACUGCUUCUGGAAUGGGCAAUGACUUAAAUCUAUAUGGCCCCUGGAUUGGACUGCGGCCGAUCAGGCUGUUGGUGAGGUAAUGGCCCACCAAACCUGUAACCGGUACGGGCUCUGAGAGGAGGAGCCCGGAGAUGGGCACUGAGACAAGGGCCCAGGCCCUAUGGGGCGCAGCAGGCGCGAAACCUCUGCAAUAGGCGAAAGCCUGACAGGGUUACUCUGAGUGAUUUCCGUUAAGGAGAUCUUUUGGCACCUCUAAAAAUGGUGCAGAAUAAGGGGUGGGCAAGUCUGGUGUCAGCCGCCGCGGUAAUACCAGCACCCCGAGUGGUCGGGACGUUUAUUGGGCCUAAAGCAUCCGUAGCCGGUUCUGCAAGUCUUCCGUUAAAUCCACCUGCUUAACAGAUGGGCUGCGGAAGAUACUAUAGAGCUAGGAGGCGGGAGAGGCAAGCGGUACUCGAUGGGUAGGGGUAAAAUCCGUUGAUCCAUUGAAGACCACCAGUGGCGAAGGCGGCUUGCCAGAACGCGCUCGACGGUGAGGGGUGAAAGCUGGGGAAGCAAACCGGAUUAGAUACCCGGGUAGUCCCAG
rnacentral:rRNA from 1 species